GUUUCUGAAUUAGACGUGCGGCUAAGCACGGGAAGGAAAUCAGAUUAAAAAGGAUCUUGCUAAUGGGGAGGUUACUUUGUUGGAAGCCUUCCUUCCACAUCUGUUGUGAAUAUUGUCCGCUCCAGGGAAAGCCUCCCAGAGAUAAGCAAAUGCUACUUCCCACCAUUGCAGGGUAAAAUUCUCUUAUCAACAGAGCAGCAACUUACCGUCAGCCUUGGGGCAGAAGCAUGGUCCCUCUCCAAGGAGUGUCGCUAUAUAUAGGGAGCGCUGGACCCAGCUACCUACAGUGAACCAGCUUUUGGCAAGGUCUCUGACCAGCCCAGAGGAGGAGACUGGAGCAGCAGGAGUGGGAAGAUUGUACUCUACUGGCAUUCCAGAAACGGCGGUCCAGGUAAGAGCAGUAGAGGAAAGAGGCAGUUUCAGGUGCUGCAGAAAAUACAUUACCAGUAGCACUGGAUUCUAACCCAUACUGAGCACAUUCUCCAUGAACAUCACUCGGAGCAGAGGCCUUCUGUCCUUACACAUUUAAAGCAGAUUUGCCUCAGUAUUGUCUGCUCUGAGGGGUGAAGUAACCAUUCACUUAGAUCAGCUUAGAAUGGUUUUUCUUCCAGCUGUCCCAACAAAUUCCCCCCACCACUGGUUUCUUCUGUGGAAGCGUAUCUACUCUACAGAGCUGCCUUGAUUGACCCUAUCUCAGCAAACUUCUCCUGAGUCAGGCUAACAUGCAACAGCAUGACCAUGCCAUAACCCAACAAGUGUGUGCUGUGGCGGGCUAUGACUCCCUGUGUCCGCACUAGCACUGCAUCCACUUGUGUUAUGCUAAGGCUUCUGGGAGUGUGUCCCAGGGUUCACAGCAUCACUACAAACUGCACCACUCUCCCUAGGCAUUGUGAGAGAACUCUGCUCCCCGCCAGGUGGGGAUUGGAGACUGCAAAGAUCUAAAACCUGGAAACUCCCACAAUCCACCCAGUUUCAGGAAGCCAGCAGGUGUGGUGGCAUGGAUCCUGCACAGAGAAACGACGCACUGCUGCUAGUAGCAGUUUUUAUGGAGCUACUGACGAGAGGCAAGAGAAGCAGGUACAGCAGAAAGCAGCAGUAGGUGUCCCAGCAGCACAGAAUGGCAAGGUGAGAUGUUGACAGGAGAAUGUGUCAGCUACAUGCAGAGCUUCAGGAGAGAACUAAGAAGAUAAAGGGGAAUGUUUUAGACUGAGUGGGUUCAAGAAUCUGAACCUUUACAGGCUACUUUGUACUAGACCUGUGCCAGAGCCUGGCAAUGAGAGGUGACCUGUACUCUCACGUUUGCUUUGUAUGACGGAGACAAUAGCAACGUGUAGAUGCUGGGGCAAAUGGCUCUAUUUUGGUACAUUUCGUCAACAAACCAGCAUAAGAAAGCUCAUUACUUGAAUACAUGCAAAAGCCAAUUAUUUUUUUCUAAAACGUGAGGUCUUCCAAGAGAGGGAUAUUUCAAAACCCUUUCUAGUGAAGGAUUAGCAGCCAGAUUGUUAUCGUCAGUAUGCAACAGAACUUGAAAAGUGCCAGGCAGUUCAGUAUGACUGGAUGAAAAGGAAGGAACAGUUUAAAUGUUAGUGGUGGUUACUCACUGACAGCAGCAAUGCAAAUGCUCUUGCUGAAUUCUGCAAGUCAAGCUCUAGACAGGUUCUGGUGUGCUAAAUGCAGCUGGCAGACCUUUCAGCCAAAGAUUAUUUAUUUUACAAAAAAAAAUUAAAAAGCAGCAGAAUUGGCAAUGCUAAAAUGCGUAGAUUUGUGUGGCUUUCACAGAAUUGCGUGUAUCAAAAUUUCAAGAGUCAAAGAUGUUUUGACUUUUUAGUUCCACACAAUUUUGUUUAAAAAUGUAAAGAAAACUCAAUCAGAACAAAUGUCUCAUUCACCCCAAAAACAAAUUUUUUGCAACUUUUAAAUUCACUGAUAUUUUAAAACAAAAACAAAAACAAACAAAAGAAAAACAAACCACACACCAUCUGGAUUUUGGCUCAAACCCUUCUCCCAAAGCAAAAAAAAAAGGGGGGAGGGGAGUUUUUGAAUUGCCAGGAUACUGAGAAACCCACAUGGCUCUCAAGACCAAGUGGCAUGGGGCAUGUGACAGAAAGUAGGUGUUCUAAUCAGAUACAGGUAGUGAAAUUACACAUCAGAAUCAGUUCUCCACCCCCUGCACUGGGCUUGAAUGCAUGGGGUACCACUGCUGUGACAUUAGCACAUAUGCCUUCCUCAUAGCAGAGAGGGGACGUCAUAAGAGCAGGAAUAACAUGUUGUGCACCAGUGAGGUGUUGCCUCAUUCCUGAUCUUUGGGCAUGCUCCCUUCUGCUGCCUGCUUGGCUAACCUUGGAUGCUUACGGUACCAUGUGGAUACAUGAUGGAUGCCUGGUUUAUGAGCAGAGAUUAAAUAACUAACUGUGCACUGGCAAACAUGCAAAAAUCCUGCACUGUUUGCUUAGUGUGCUAUAAAGAGACAAUCCAACUGUGUCCUGCUUUUGAAAGGGGCUCAUGUCACAACAGGAUACUGUGGCUGAAUCAGAGCUCCUUUGCCCUCUGCAGUCUGGUAAUGGUUUUUCACCCACCCCACUUCAAAUCCAUCUGGGGAUGUGCGUGCUGGAGGGGGAGAGGGUGAAAGCUGGAAGUUAGUGCCCACCAGGGAAGCUGUAUCUGUCAUUAGUCAUUAUUCCCACCUUUUUGUUCAUAGUGUCGCCCCCCCAUACCCCAUAACAAGUAAUGCAGUGCACAUCACCCAUAGGCAAGGUCAGCAAGGGGACUUACUGGGCUC